UGCAAGUCGAACGGCAGCGCGGGUGCUUGCACCUGGCGGCGAGUGGCGAACGGGUGAGUAAUACAUCGGAACGUGCCCUAGAGUGGGGGAUAACUAGUCGAAAGAUUAGCUAAUACCGCAUACGAUCUACGGAUGAAAGUGGGGGACCGCAAGGCCUCAUGCUCCUGGAGCGGCCGAUGUCUGAUUAGCUAGUUGGUGGGGUAAUAGCCUACCAAGGCGACGAUCAGUAGCUGGUCUGAGAGGACGACCAGCCACACUGGGACUGAGACACGGCCCAGACUCCUACGGGAGGCAGCAGUGGGGAAUUUUGGACAAUGGGGGCAACCCUGAUCCAGCAAUGCCGCGUGUGUGAAGAAGGCCUUCGGGUUGUAAAGCACUUUUGUCAGGAACGAAACGGUGGGGGCUAAUACCUCCUGGUAAUGACGGUACCUAAAGAAUAAGCACCGGCUAACUACGUGCCAGCAGCCGCGGUAAUACGUAGGGUGCGAGCGUUAAUCGGAAUUACUGGGCGUAAAGCGUGCGCAGGCGGUUGUGCAAGACAGAUGUGAAAUCCCCGGGCUCAACCUGGGAAUGGCAUUUGUGACUGCACGGCUAGAGUGUGUCAGAGGGGGGUAGAAUUCCACGUGUAGCAGUGAAAUGCGUAGAUAUGUGGAGGAAUACCGAUGGCGAAGGCAGCCCCCUGGGAUAACACUGACGCUCA
rnacentral:rRNA from 1 species